rnacentral:rRNA from 1 species
AACGAACGCUGGCGGCGUGCUUAACACAUGCAAGUCAAGGGGAACGUACCUUCGGGUACUAUUACACUGGCGCACGGGUGAGUAACGCGUGAGAAACCUGCCCUAAAGUUUGGGAUAACACAUAGAAAUGUGUGCUAAUACCGGAUAAGACCACAGCUCGAUUGUGCAGUGGUAAAAGUCGGAGCAAUCUGACGCUUUUGGAUGGUCUCGCGUCUAAUUAGCUAGUAGGUGAGGUAACGGCUCACCUAGGCGACGAUUGGUAGCCGACCUGAGAGGGUGAUCGGCCACACUGGAACUGAGACACGGUCCAG